UGGGUAACCUGCCUCAAAGAGGGGAAUAGCCUCCCGAAAGGGAGAUUAAUACCGCAUAAUAUGUUUAGGUCGCAUGACUUUAACAUCAAAGGAUUUUCUUUUAAGAAAUUCCACUUUGAGAUGGACCCCGCGGCGCAUUAGCUAGUUGGUGAGGUAACGGCUCACCAAGGCAACGNUGCGUAGCCGACCUGAGAGGGUNAUCGGCCACUAUUGGAACUGAACGACCACGGUCCAGCUCCGUAGG
rnacentral:rRNA from 1 species